GUGCUCGCUUUGGCAGCACAUGUACUAAAACUGGAAUGAUACAGAGAAGAUUAGCAUGGCCCCUGUGCAAGCAUGACACACAAAUUUGUGAAGCGAAAGGAAUAGCA